CUACGGGGUGCUGCAGUGAGGAAUAUUGCACAAUGGGGGGAACCCUGAUGCAGCAACGCCGCGUGGAGGAUGACGCAUUUCGGUGUGUAAACUCCUUUUAUAUGUCAAGAAAAUGACGGUAGCAUAUGAAUAAGCACCGGCUAACUCCGUGCCAGCAGCCGCGGUAAUACGGAGGGUGCAAGCGUUACUCGGAAUCACUGGGCGUAAAGGACGCGUAGGCGGGUUGAAAAGUCAGGUGUGAAAUCCUACAGCUUAACUGUAGAACUGCACUUGAAACUUCUAAUCUAGAGUAUGGGAGGGGGAGAUGGAAUUAGUGGUGUAGGGGUAAAAUCCGUAGAUAUCACUAGGAAUACCUAAAGCGAAGGCGAUCUCCUGGAACAUUACUGACGCUAAGGCGUAAAAGCGUGGGGAGCAAACAGGAUUAGAUACCCUUGUAGUC
rnacentral:rRNA from 1 species